rnacentral:rRNA from 1 species
CACGUAGGGGGCAAGCGUUGUCCGGAUUUAUUGGGCGUAAAGAGCGUGUAGGCGGCCAGAUAAGUCCGCUGUGAAAUCUCGAGGCUCAACUUCGAGCUGUCGGUGGAAACUAUCUGGCUAGAGUCCGGAAGAGGAGAAUGGAAUUCCUGGUGUAGCGGUGAAAUGCGCAGAUAUCAGGAGGAACACCGAUUGCGAAGGCAGCUCGCUGGGACGUAACUGACGCUGAGACGCGAAAGCGUGGGGAGCGAACAGG